rnacentral:lncRNA from 1 species
GCAAGGCUGGCUUGGGUAACAAAGGCUACACUGCGUUAGCAGGCUCUUUUAUCGUUCACGGUCACCUCACUAAAUAGGACAAGUAACCUUUCAAGUUCAAACUCGGGCAGGUAUCGAAUGGUGUAUUAGGCGUAAACAGGAUGUUUAUCAAGCUCGUUUCACGACUAAUCUGCUCGAGGCAAUGAAUCAGCGGUUGAUAACACUAACAGGGACCAAACGUACGGGGAAAUUUUCACCGCAACUGGAACGUCUUUUAUUUCUCCUACAAGGGCAAAACGCAGUUUUCUUACUGGGUCGUUUGCUCUAUUAGGCCAAGGGUGAAGAAAGACAUGUAAAGGAAGCAAGUGGGCAGUUUCAUUUUUACCAUCUCUACAUAAGCUUCGAACUACGACAUUUUUCGAAACACAAGACGGAACUUCAGCGAAAACGAUCAACCCAUACAUGAAUACUGUCUCCGGAAAACCUUUGGAAGUAUGAAGUAGUCAUCCACAGAACUUAGUUACGUCCACUUUUAUAAUGGGCGGAAAAAUCAUCAAAAGGUGUUCGUGUUUUAAACGUUACAUCUAGAACUGGUAACGUCAUAGCGCCCUGCGUCCUUGAAAUAGGCGAAACUGUUGGUGAGCAAGCGGAUUUUUCCAUGGACUGCGGCCAAAUUGAGAACAGGGUCAGUAACGAACAGCGGGAAGUAUAUCUUUUGGCAAGGCAGCCCAUAUACCCACUACACCCACUUUUUUAUGCAGGUCGUGACUAAACGGGACUCUACCGGGUUUGGGCGAGCCAAUACAAGGUCGGUUCACGGAUGUGAAGUACAAAGUUGCGGUAAGAGCUUGUAAGUGGC